GUUAGGGCGUUAAGGUUGUGCCAACAGAGAAAGAGUGAUGCUGAAGAGAGUGGCCCUUCUCCAGCGCCUGCCCUCCUCCUCCUCCCCACCCCCUCUCUGUGUCUCCCACCUCUCCCUCUGCGCUGGUUCUCUACCCUCAGCCUGUAAACAAGAUCAAGUCUCUCCCAACAAGAAUCAACUGAGACCCAGCAAUUCUACUCCUAAGUGUAUAUUCAAGGGAAUUGGAAACAAAAAUCUACUCAAAAAGUUGUACAAAAAAUGUUCAUAGCAUAUACAUAAUAGCCAACAAGUGGAAUUUCCGUCGUUUGAUGAGUGGAUAAACAAAUUAUGAUUUGUCCAUGCAAAGGAAUAUUAUUGGACCAUAAAAAGGAAUGAAGUACUGAUACACGCUAUAAUAAGGAUGAAUGUUGAAAACGUCAUCCUUAUUAUAUGUGAUAUAUAUAAGUGAUUAUACAAGUGAAAGAAACCAGACAUGAAAGACUACAUAGCAUAUGAGUCCGUUUCUAUCAAAUGUCCAGAAUAGGCAAAACCAUAGAGACAGAAAGUAGAUUGGUGGUUGCCAGGAGCUGGGGGAAAGGGAAAGUGGGGAGUGACUGCUAAUGGGCCUGAGGUUUCUGCUUUAGGGUGUGAUGAAAAUGUUCUGGAAUUAGGUAGGAGUGAUGAUUGCAUGACUUUGUGAAUAUACUAAAAACCGCUGAAUAAUACACACUUUAAAAGAGUGAAUGUUGUAGUAUGUGAAUUAUAUCUCAAUUUUUUUAAAAGAAAAUCAAACUACCAAAAAAACUAACUCCCUUGAUGCUGAACCCCUUCUGACUACUGUGCAGUUUCCCAUCCCUUCUCAUCCAAGAUUCUUAAAAGGGUGGGCUAUGCGUUCUACCCCCACUUCCUCAUCUCCCAUUUAUAUGUCGGUUCCCUAGAAUGUGGCUUCUGUCCACACCAGAGAGAGAGCUCAAAUCCACGCUCUCCUUGAAUGCUGAGGCUUUCUAUGACCUUGAACAUUCCUGGUUCUCCCCCUCCUCUCCAGUCUUUCUGUCUUUUGACCUUCUUUUCCUUGGCAAACCUAUUUUAAACAUUGAUGUUUUUUAUGGCUCCUUCCAAAAUCCUUCCUAGGUUCUAUCAUCCAUGUCCGUGAGUUCAGUUACUGUGUUUCAAAUUCUAACAUUCACCUGAUGUCCCAUAGGUUUCUCAAACUCAGUGUGUCCUAAGCAAUUUAUCAUCUCCCUCCCCUUCCUCUACCUUCUCUCCAAGGGUGCUGUCUCUUACAGCAUGCUAGGGCCUGGGAGUCAUCCUUGAUUCUUCCCUCUUCCUUCUUCUAGAGUCAACCACCAAUUUUUAUCCUAUAAAUGUUCUUAAAUCCCAUUGCUCUUUUCUAUUCCUACUAUCACAGCCCUAGUCCACAGCGCCAUCAUCUUUUGCCUUUUACUUCCCUUCAUCUUUUGUGCCCUUCCAAUCUAGCUUUCAAACAGUUGUUGAAGUGGACACCCAUUGCAAUGGCUAACACAGCUGGCAUUCCUCUCUCUUAUGGUAGCAAUGCCCUGGCUUUGCUUUAGGAACCCACCCCUUCCCCCAUGAGCUAUGAGCUUGUUGAGACUGCCAACCAAAAUGCCAACUUUACCUAAACCAGGCUGGGUAUGCCCUGAAGCUGGGGCAAUACAACACCCUUCAUUGGGGAGUUUGAAUUCUGGGCAGAGCAACAUAAAAACUGAAGUUGGUUGGACCUGAUUCUUCCCGACCCGGAAGACUUCCAGUCGAUUCCUGCUGCUUCUGUCCUGGGAGCUCCUUUCAGAGCCUGGAUGCUGUAGUUUUCCUGCAGUUUUCUGAAUGAUCCUGUAUCUUGCCAAUGUAUUCUUUUUCUGGAAGUUGAUGAGAGUUGCCUGCAAAGAUAGAAUCUAGCAGAUACAGAAAAAUGUUUAAGACACAAACCAUGUCUUUGCCUACUUAAAAUUCUUUGGAGACAUCCAUUGCCCAUAGGAUAGACUCCAAGCUCUGUGACCCAGCUGCUCCCUGCCUCUCCUGCAUCUUCUCUCCCCAUUCCCUGCCUUGCCUUCACAUUUCUGCCUUUCUGAAUUACUUGGAGUUUCACAUAAACUCACUAAGAUUUCAUGCCCUGGUGUUCAUGAGACCCCCUUUAUAUAGAAUAUCCUUCCCUGUUUUCCCCCAACUAACUUCAACCAUCCUUUAAGGAGUUAUCCUUCAGAAAGCCUCCAUGGCUCUUCCUUGCUCCCAACCGUCCGCCUUCCUCUGUGUUCUCAAAGCACUCGUUUCUUCCACCUAUGGUUGCACUUACUGUCAUGGUAUUUUACUUGACCAUUUAAUUAUCGCCUCUCCCACUAAAUGUGGAGUUCCUUGAGGGCUGUAAGUUUCUAUUCUGUAUCCUUAGUGCUUAGCACACUCCCCAGCACGUGGCAGGUGCUCAGUACCCUUCCUUUCUUCUUCUUCUUCUUUGCCUCUAAUCUUGAAUAAGAGAAAAGGAUCACAUGAAGGAACACUGACAAGCAUUUUUCCCAGGGAGAUGAAAAGCAAAAAUUCACGCUUAAGGCAGCUCAUAUAAAUUGUUUAAAAACUGUAUUCCAGUUCUGAAAAAUGUUCCAGGAGACUGCUAAAACCUCAGUAAGACUACAGGGCUAAAGGGUACUUAUUUAAAUAACAUUGCUCUCAUCUCAAAAAUCUGCUCAAUUUCUCCUGAAAGCCUUCACAGCCUAAUGAGAUGGAAAAUUAAGUAACUCAGACAAUUGUAGUCAUUAUUGUGACUAAAUGGCAAGGUAAGUUUUUACACACAUUUGUAAUGGUAGCUGGAGAAUAAACUAAACAUAAUAGGCAAAUCCCUAGUUCCAUUUGUGUGUCUAUGGUGAAACACGUACUACCUUAAGUGGAAUUAUAUAACCAUCCAUAUGCAGAUGCUGAGUGAGGAAAGCUGGAUUCUCGUCGCAGCCCGGCCACGACCAACUACUUGACCUUGGAUCUGACCUCUGAAUCCUAUAUUUCACUCACCAGCAUCCCCUCCUAUCUGCGUUCCCAACACUGCCUACCUUCGAUCAACUGGAAAUGAUGAUAUAUUAGCCAGCAACUCCAGAGCACAGAUUCGUUUAUCUGUAGCAACAGGGCCUAGAGGAAGGAGACAGGGAUGGUUAUUUAGUGGAGGAGAGUCACUUAAUAAAAGAGAUUAAGCACCUUAGGAGCCUGAAGGGUUGAGCAAAUUGUUUGAUGCACUGCACUAGCAAUUAUGUGUGAAAGGCUUCACGUACGGGAUACAGACCCCACAUAAAAUUAUGCAUUUGCACAUGCAAUUGUAAUUAACAUCCUAAUUUGAAAAAGCGCUGCUUGGGUCCCUGUGAGGUAUCGCAUUGGGACACUGGGAACCUCACCUGGAGGCACUGGGAACCUUAGGAAAAGGCAACGUGGAAAGAAUCUGGGUUGCUUCCCUGGAAAUAAAAAUGAAGAGUAUGCUACUGAUUAAGUUUGCUCUUUGUUCUGGCUUUGCGAGAUUCAUGGGAAAAGACAGAUCUUCAGCACUGUUUUGAUUGAUUCAUCUAACAUUUUGUGACCAGAUAACCUCUGCUUACAGAGAUGACUAAGACAAUGUUGCUCUUCUUUAGGAGCUGGAGGAGGAAAUGGACCCUUGAGCAGUCGAGUCACAGCAGGAAACAGCCCACGUGGCUCAAGUGAAGAGAUUUCAGUGAAAGGACAACCUGCAUAGCCCACGUGUUCUCAGUAUGGAGACAACGCCAGCUAUGACCGCUGAUUUGAAGCAUGUCCUACCUUCUGCAGUUUCUCAGGUCCAUCGACCUCCAUCUCUCUUCUGUGGCUUCAUCAGAGAAGGAUGAGUGAGCAGUGCUGGUUCCCUGUCCUGUGCUGAGAUGACAUUGCAGGGGUACAGAGGAGACAAGCCACGGACAACCUGUAGCAACAGGAGGAGGAGAAUUAAUAGGAAGUCUGAGAAGACCAGAGACUUUCUCUCUGCCCCGCACCCCGCCUGCCAACCACGCUGGAUCUCAGACAUCUGACCCAGCUCAGCUCAUGGAAUGCUUCUUCUGAGACUUCAGGUCACAGAGAGUGAUGCAAGGACACAGAGGCAGGUGAGAGACCACCCCCGACAGCCGAGCCCAAGGAUGAGAGUCCAGCAGCAGCACCAUCCAGCAGAGUGUGGGACUUUGGCAUUGAGUGGCCAGGGGCAGCUGUGCCUGGCAGCAUCUUCAUCACACUGACCCUGAGGGGUGACCUUGGCUGUGAUACCCACUGCCUGGCCUCUUGUUCUGGUCAUCCUAUGAGCCUGGUUUGCCACCCUCUCUUCAAUUCUCAAGCUACCUGAUAUCUUUCCAAUAAAUUCCUUGGCUGCUCAAGUUAGCCAGAGCUUGUUUCUGUGACUUGUCACUAGGAACCCUGACAUUGACGUAGACUUACUGCCUCCCUUCAAAACAGAAAAUGUG
rnacentral:lncRNA from 1 species